rnacentral:misc_RNA from 1 species
UUUCCGUAGGUGAACCUGCGGAAGGAUCAUUAAAGAGUAAGGGUCUUCGGGCCCGAUCUCCAACCCUUUGUAUAACUACCAUGUUGCUUUGGCGGGCCCGUCUCACGACCGCCGGAAGUUUGGCUUCGACCAAACUUCUGGCCCGUGCCCGUCAGUGGCCCCUUCAAAUUCUUGAUCAAGUAUGAUGUCUUAGUUAAAAACUUAAUAGUUAAAACUUUCAACAACGGAUCUCUUGGUUCUG